AGGGGAGCGUUCUGUAAGCCUGCGAAGGUGUACUGUGAGGUAUGCUGGAGGUAUCAGAAGUGCGAAUGCUGACAUAAGUAACGAUAAUGCGGGGGAAAAACCCGCACGCCGGAAGACCAAGGGUUCCUGUCCAACGUUAAUCGGGGCAGGGUGAGUCGACCCCUAAGGCGAGGCUGAAAAGCGUAGUCGAUGGGAAACGGGUUAAUAUUCCCGUACUGGUGGUAACUGCGAUGGGGGAACGGAGAAGGCUAGGUUGUCCGGGCGACGGUCGUCCCGGUUCAAGCAGGUAGGCAGAGUGAUUAGGCAAAUCCGGUCACUUAAUGCUGAGAUGUGAUGACGAACCACCAAGGUGGUGAAGCAAUUGAUGCCCCGCUUCCAGGAAAAGCCUCUAAGCUUCAGGUUACCAACAAUCGUACCCCAAACCGACACAGGUGGUCAGGUAGAGAAUACUCAGGCGCUUGAGAGAACUCGGGUGAAGGAACUAGGCAAAAUGGUGCCGUAACUUCGGGAGAAGGCACGCUGGCGGUAGGUAAAGUCCCU
rnacentral:rRNA from 1 species